GCAUGCAGCAGCCAUGCAGAGCCUUGGCCAGCCUGGCACGGAGUCCAGUGAGCAGGAUUCCAGGACGAACACUGCCCCAUGGCCACCAAUGCAGCCAUGUCCCAGGACACACACCCUCAGCAGGGUCUGUCAGGAGCUGCUGGCCACCUGGCCCCACCCAGGCCCUCCCCAUGUGGGGGUGUGAGAUCCGGCCCCAGAGAGGGGCACUGGGCACACUCCUGAGCCCCCACCCCACCAGGCUGGCACCCAGCCUCAAGGGCCUGCUGAAGGAAGGGCAGAGAGAGAAGAGGCGAACCCACAGCUGUU
rnacentral:lncRNA from 1 species